UUUUUAGAAUAAGUAUGUCCUAUGCAACAUUUGGGACAUACUUAUCCUAAAA
rfam:Equus caballus chromosome 21, whole genome shotgun sequence.